GACGAACGCUGACGGCGUGCUUAACACAUGCAAGUCGAGCGAUGAAGCACCUUCGGGUGUGAAUUAGCGGCGAACGGGUGAGGAACACGUGAGAAAUCUGCCUUCAACACUGGGAUAACUCCGGGAAACCGGGGCUAAUACCGGAUAUGAAACCUGCGGGCAUCCGCGGGUUUGGAAAGUUUUUCGGUUGAAGAUGAUCCCGCGGCCUAUCAGCCUGUUGGUGAGGUAAUGGCCCACCAAGGCGACGACGGGUAGCCGGCCUGAGAGGGCGACCGGCCACACUGGGACUGAGACACGGCCCAGACUCCUACGGGAGGCAGCAGUGGGGAAUAUUGGGCAAUGGAGGAAACUCUGACCCAGCGACGCCGCGUGCGGGAUGAAGGCCUUCGGGUUGUAAACCGCUUUCAGCAGGGAAGAAGCGAAAGUGACGGUACCUGCAGAAGAAGCACCGGCUAACUAUGUGCCAGCAGCCGCCGUAA
rnacentral:rRNA from 1 species